rnacentral:lncRNA from 1 species
AUACCAAUAAUUUACAUGUAUUAUCCAAUAAAUAAGCCGAAUGAACUGAACUCAAAACAACAGUUAAUACCCAGGCACAACUAUUUAUUUCUAAAAUUUUAGGUAAAACUUUAUUUAAGUUAUGUUUUUGAUUCUCAAAUUACAACAUGAGAUGUCGGUAUCUUCAGACGAUAUUACAACUUAAAAAGUUCCAACUUAGGUAUUAUUUCAUAUUCAUCUUGAUUAUAAUGCACACAUCGUUGACU